rnacentral:rRNA from 1 species
GACGAACGCUGGCGGCGUGCCUAAUACAUGCAAGUCGAGCGAAGCGGCGGAUGGGUGAGUUACGCGUUGGUAACCUGCCCCUAAGUCUGGGAUACCAUUUGGAAACAGAUGCUAAUACCGGAUACUAAAGGAUGGACCUGCGAUGCAUUAGCUAGUUGGUAAGGUAACGGCUUACCAAGGCGAUGAUGCAUAGCCGGUUUGAGAGGAUGAUCGGCCACAUUGGGACUGAGACACGGCCCAAACUCCUACGGGAGGCAGCAGUGGGGAAUCUUCCACAAUGGACGAAAGUCUGAUGGAGCAACGCCGCGUGGGUGAAGAAGGUUUUCGGAUCGUAAAGCACUGUUGUUGGUGAAGCGGUAAUCAAACAAAAAGUAACGGCUAACUACGUGCCAGCAGCCGCGGUAAUAC